GUCUUGGAACAUUCACACACCCACCUGCCUCUGAACCGUCAGCUCAGGUAAGCACAGGUCAAGUGGAGCAAGUUGUGUUGAAGAUGGGGCACCUCACUGUUGUGGCUGUCAUCGGAGUUCUCUUCAGCCUUUUCAUGGAAGCUGAAGCGAAUCCAUUUGUUUACAGCUAUGAAAGGCUACGAAUUGGAGGCUUGAUCUUUUCCGGCUUUUGUUUUUUCGGAGGAAUCGCCUUUUUAUUUCACAACAAGUGCUCCACGAGGAACAAAAAAUCGGAGAAUGACAGUGAAAUCUGAGACGGCGCCUGACAGACCGGUUUCGGGCCCGGGAGGAUCUGACAGGACAAUGAUGAUUUGGGCGUGUUUUUCGGGGGGUUAGGAGGAAACACACCAGCUCAAAAGUUCAAUUCUGCAAAGACCUGGGCAAAGAUGUGCUACUUAUGCAAGGUUCAAAAGCAUGUAUCCAUUUCUCAAAUGUGUACCAAUAAGUAAAUUAUAGAGUCAUUUAUACAUCCCUGGAUUCAUGUUUAUCCCUGGGGGCACUUCUUGACAUGAUUAGUCUGUUUUAAAGGGAAUUUAGCCAUAAGCAUGAUGUUCUAUAUUGUUGCUGGAAAAUGCAGUAUUAGGAACAUGAUAUAGUGUUGUUGUUAAUAAACUAGUUAAUCAACCAUUUCGAUAUUCAUAGGAUUAACUGAAAACAUAGAAACCCUUGUUGUCCACACCCAAAGUGAAAAUAAAUGACACUACA